rnacentral:rRNA from 1 species
AACGAACGCUGGCGGCAUGCCUAACACAUGCAAGUCGAACGAGACCUUCGGGUCUAGUGGCGCACGGGUGCGUAACGCGUGGGAAUCUACCCUUGGGUUCGGAAUAACAGUUAGAAAUGACUGCUAAUACCGGAUGAUGACGUAAGUCCAAAGAUUUAUCGCCCAAGGAUGAGCCCGCGUAAGAUUAGCUUGUUGGUGGGGUAAUGGCCUACCAAGGCGACGAUCUUUAGCUGGUCUGAGAGGAUGAUCAGCCACACGGGGACUGAGACACGGCCCAGACUCCUACGGGAGGCAGCAGGGGGGAAUAUGGGACAAGGGGCGAAAGCCGGAUCCAGCAAUGCCGCGGGAGGGAUGAAGGCCUUAGGGUUGUAAAGCUCUUUUACCAGGGAUGAUAAUGACGGUACCGGGAGAAUAAGCGCCGGCUAACUCCGUGCCAGCCGCCGCGGUAA